AACAAAACCAAGCGGCUUCGGUCGUUUUUUGUUGACUCACAAUAACUAAGCUGAUCGCAUGGUCUUGUACCGGCGACGUGUCUUUCAAGUAUCUGCCUUAUCAACUUUCGAUGGUAGUGUAUCUGACUACCAUGGUUGUGACGGGUAACGGAGGAUAAGGGUUCGACUCCGGAGAAGGGGCCUGAGAAAUGGCCACUACGUCUAAGGAUGGCAGCAGGCGCGCAAAUUACCCACUCUCAGAACGAGGAGGUAGUGACGAAAAAUAACGAGGCCGUUCUCUAUGAGGCCGGUCAUCGGAAUGGGUACAAUCUAAACCCUUUAACGAGUAUCUAUGAGAGGGCAAGUCUGGUGCCAGCAGCCGCGGUAAUUCCAGCUCUCAAAAUGCAUAGAAUUAUUGCUGCGGUUAAAAAGCUCGUAGUUGGAUCUGUGCCAGGAGAGCGGUCCACUUUCGGGUGGUACUGCUACGACUGGCUUUUUGCUGGUUUUCUCGUCGUAGUCUUAACCGAUUGCGGCGGGUGGCUGGCGAUUUUACUUUGAACAAAUCAGAGUGCUUAACACAGGCGUUUCGCUUGAAUGUUCUUGCAUGGAAUAAUAGAAAAGGAUUUCGGUUCUAUUUUAUUGGUUUUAUAGACUGAGAUAAUGGUUAACAGAGACAAACGGGGGCAUUCGUAUUGCUGCGUGAGAGGUGAAAUUCUUGGACCGCAGCAAGACGAACUACAGCGAAAGCAUUUGCCAAGAAUCUCUUCAUUAAUCAAGAA
rnacentral:rRNA from 1 species